rnacentral:rRNA from 1 species
UACGUAGGGCGCAAGCGUUAUCCGGAAUUAUUGGGCGUAAAGAGCUCGUAGGCGGUUUGUCGCGUCUGCCGUGAAAGUCCGGGGCUCAACUCCGGAUCUGCGGUGGGUACGGGCAGACUAGAGUGAUGUAGGGGAGACUGGAAUUCCUGGUGUAGCGGUGAAAUGCGCAGAUAUCAGGAGGAACACCGAUGGCGAAGACAGGUCUCUGGGCCGCAACUGACGCUGAGGAGCGAAAGCAUGGGGAGCGAACAGG